AUACGAAGGGUGCAAGCGUUACUCGGAAUUACUGGGCGUAAAGCGUGCGCAGGUGGUUGUUUAAGUCUGUCGUGAAAGCUCUGGGCUCAACCUGGGAAUGGCGAUGGAUACUGGGCGACUAGAGUGUGGCAGAGGGAAGUGGAAUUCCUGGUGUAGAAGUGAAAUGCGUAGAGAUCAGGAGGAACAUCCGUGGCGAAGGCGACUGCCUGGGCCAACACUGACACUGAGGCACGAAAGCGUGGGGAGCAAACAGGAUUAGAUACCCUGGUAGUCCACGCCCUAAACGAUGCGAACUGGAUGUUGGGUGCAAUUUGGCACGCAGUAUCGAAGCUAACGCGUUAAGUUCGCCGCCUGGGGAGUACGGUCGCAAGACUGAAACUCAAAUGAAUUGACGGGG
rnacentral:rRNA from 1 species